rnacentral:rRNA from 1 species
CCUACGGGCGACAGCAGUAGGGAAUCUUUCACAAUGGGCGAAAGCCUGAUGGAGCAACGCCGCGUGCAGGAUGAAGGCCUUCGGGUUGUAAACUGCUUUUAUAAGCGAGAAAUAUGAUGGUAACUUAUGAAUAAGGAUCGGCUAACUACGUGCCAGCAGCCGCGGUCAUACGUAGGAUCCGAGCAUUAUCCGGAGUGACUGGGUGUAAAGAGUUGCGUAGGUGGCAUAAUAAGUAGCUAGUGAAAUCUGGUGGCUCAACCAUUCAGACUAUUAGCUAAACUGUUAAGCUCGAGACCGUUAGGGGUAACUGGAAUUUCUAGUGUAGGAGUGAAAUCCGUAGAUAUUAGAAGGAACACCAAUAGCGUAGGCAGGUUGCUGGGACGGUUCUGACACUAAGGCACGAAAGCGUAGGGAGCAAACGGGAUUAGAUACCCCUGUAGUC